rnacentral:rRNA from 1 species
AGUGAACGCUGGCGGCAGGCCUAACACAUGCAAGUCGAGCGGCAGCGGGUCCUUCGGGAUGCCGGCGAGCGGCGGACGGGUGAGGAAUGCGUCGGAAUCUGCCUUUUUGUGGGGGAUAACGUAGGGAAACUUACGCUAAUACCGCAUACGACCUACGGGUGAAAGUGGGGGACCGCAAGGCCUCACGCAGAAAGAUGAGCCGACCCCGGAUUAGCUAGUUGGCGGGGUAAAGGCCCACCAAGGCGACGAUCCGUAGCUGGUCUGAGAGGAUGAUCAGCCACACUGGAACUGAGACACGGUCCAGACUCCUACGGGAGGCAGCAGUGGGGAAUAUUGGACAAUGGGCGCAAGCCUGAUCCAGCCAUGCCGCGUGUGUGAAGAAGGCCUUCGGGUUGUAAAGCACUUUUGUCCGGAAAGAAAUCCAAUCGAUUAAUACUCGGUUGGGAUGACGGUACCGGAAGAAUAAGCACCGGCUAACUUCGUGCCAGCCGCCGCAGUAAGAC